GAUGAACGCUGGCGGCGUGCCUAAUACAUGCAAGUCGGGCGAACGGACGAGAAGCUUGCUUCUCUGAUGUUAGCGGCGGACGGGUGAGUAACACGUGGAUAACCUACCUAUAAGACUGGGAUAACUUCGGGAAACCGGAGCUAAUACCGGAUGAUAUUUUGAACCGCAUGGUUCAAAAGUGAAAGACGGUCUUGCUGUCACUUAUAGAUGGAUCCGCGCUGCAUUAGCUAGUUGGUAAGGUAACGGCUUACCAAGGCAACGAUGCAUAGCCGACCUGAGAGGGUGAUCGGCCACACUGGAACUGAGACACGGUCCAGACUCCUACGGGAGGCAGCGGUAGGGAAUCUUCCGCAAUGGGGGAAAGCCUGACGGAGCAACGCCGCGUGAGUGAUGAAGGUCUUCGGAUCGUAAAACUCUGUUAUUAGGGAAGAACAGAUGUGUAAGUAACUGUGCACAUCGUGACGGUACCUAAUCAGAAAGCCACGGCUAACUACGUG
rnacentral:rRNA from 1 species